GGGGCCCGAAGGCUCCGGAGGAGUCGCGGCUUGCAGGGAAUGCGAGUCCUGAGCGGGUCUUCAGCUCCUUCCUCUUUUGAUGGGAAUGAGGUGCGCUUGGCAGCUUGGGUCUUCAUUCUCAGCUGUGGGUUACCACUCUGUGGUCAUCAAUGCCUGGUCACCGAUGGGCAAUUGAAAGUGGCUGCAAUGUUACCCCUUGGUCCCGGAGGAUGCCACCAUCAUCGCUGACCUCACCGGAGACAGACAGGCAGUUUACCUACACUAAGCACAGUGGUUGAGGUCAGUGAAUGUGUUCUUUUUUGUUUGUUUGUUUUUCUUUCUAGUAAUUUCAACCCAGAGCAGGGUGGAACCCAUGGCCCUGAGAUCAAGAGUAGAAUGCUCUACUGACUGAGCCAGCCGACACCCCAUUGACUGUGUUCUUUUAUUGUCUAAAUAUAAGUACGUGGACCUCACUGGGAAGAGGUCAGGUCUUAAAGAAAAAUCUUGGGGAUCCCACCCCCCCUCCACUAUGGAGGAGGGAGGGAGUGAAGCCAUAGGCGCCUCUGCUUCUGAUUUUGACACUGAAAUUCACAUCUGCUUACCCUUUCAUGUGUAAACCAGGAUUCACAAUUACUCACUCCACUCAGAUAUGUAAAGAACACAUAAUUUCUUUUCUCUCUGAAUCACUCUGGUAUCCCUUAUAAGCCUGCACCUGCUGGGUAGCAAGAGGGAAAAAACUAAUUUUAGUUCAAUAGAUUUUAAAAUGUAGUCAUUCAGUGAUUUAAGCAGUUUCUUUAGGCUUAACUCUGUGCCUUUGAGUUAAGGCUCAAUCUUUCAGUUUCUUCCUGUCUUGUCUUGUGCUUUGCUUUUCUAUAAGUAGUUUUUGUGCUUCUGAGACCAGGCCCCUGACUCCUUCUCAUCACUGCUAUGCUCAUUUAAAUGUGGUGCCCUAAGAAGGGAUUUCACAGGGAAUGGGAAAGAGCUCUCCUGCUUUGGUUCUUCUAAUUUAUUUCUUUAUUUUUCUUUUUUUUAAGAUUUUAUUUAUUUAUUCUUGAGAGACACACACAGAAAGAGAGGCAGAGACACAGGCAGAGGGAGAAGCAGGCUCCCCUGGGGGAGCCCGAUGCAGGACUUAAUCCCAGGACCCCAGGAUCACUACCUGAGCCAAAGGCAAACACUCAACCACUGAGCCACCCAGGCACCCCAAUUCUAAUUUAUUUCAUUGUCCUUCAGGCAGAGACCUGGAUAGGAGAGGCCAGAAGAAGGCAAGGGGACGCCAGGCUUGGCAUGUGGCUGGAAGAGGAGGCCUACCAGCCUCCAUCAAACAGAGGAAUCUCUCUUUGUACUAAGGGAGAAACUCUGAAAUCAGAGUGCUUGGUUCUUGAACUUCUGAAGAAUGUAGAUUUACCCAGGUUGUUUUUCAAACUUGUCCUGACUAACAGUCCUGACCUGCCUGGAGACGAUGCCUGGGAUGUGAGCUGUAAGAGGGAUUUAAAAGAGGAAUUGAAAUGCUAUGUUUGCUGAAUAUUGUUUGUAGUAUAUCAGUGUUGGCUUGGAGUGGUUGAAGGGCAGAGUGGGAUUUAGAAUGUGCUUAUAAGGACUCCUCUGAGAAGACGAAGGGUAGGUAGUGCUUAAAUGCACAGACUUGAGUCCAGACUGGCUCUGCUAUUUCCUUGUAAUUUGGACAGCUUUAUUUGUUGGAGACUCAGUUUCAUCAUCCUUAAAAUGAGGGAUAGAUAAUAGUAUCCACCUCGUAGGAUGGUUACAAAGUUAACAUAUAACAAAGAAUAAGUUUUGCCUACCUCAUAGUAAGCACUCCACAAAUGCUAUUUUUUUUAAAGAUUUUAUUUAUUUGAGUGAGAGAGAGAGAGAGAGAGCGCAAGUGCACAUGAGCAGGGGUUGGGAGUGGAGAGCAGAGGGAGAGGGAGAAGCAGGCUCCCCACCAAGCAGGGAGACAGAUGCGGGGCUUGAUCCCAAGACCCUGGGGUCAUGACCUGAGCCAGUCAGACCCUCAACUGACUGAGCUACACAGAUGCCCCUAAAUGAUAGGUAUUAUAUCACAAACACACAUAACAUUAGAUUUAAACCUUAGAAGCUUCUUUUUAAAAUUUUUUUAAAGAUUUAAUCUAUUUGACAGAGAGAGAAAGAUAGCACAAGCUGGAGGAGUGGCAGCAGAGGGAGAGAGAAAAGCCGGCUCCCUGUGGAGCAAGGAGCCUGAUACGGAGCUCAGUCCUCUGGGAUCUUGCCCUGAAGCUGAAGGCAGACGUUUAACCGACUGAGUCACCCAGGCACCCUGCCUUAGAAGCUUAUGUAUGAUGCAAGAGAAAGAGCAUGAAUUUUUAAAAUAGCCUAAGUUACACGAUGUGGGGCAGAUUAUUUGGCCACUGUGAUACUGGUUCUGAAAACCAAAGAUUAUCGUAUCAUAGAAAAGCUGUCGGAAUUCAAUAAAAUAAUGUGCAAGAAACACUUAGCAAAAAGUUUGGCACAUAACUGAGGCUCAAUUGAAGUUUCUUCUCCUUCUUCCUUAUGUCAGUGACAUGUUCUCUUAUAAUUGUUUACUGUUACAUCCUCAACCAGGAAUCUUAAGCUUUUAGAAUCUCCUAACUGGCCAGCUCAGAGGAGAAGCUCCAUAGAUCCAUUGACAGAUUCAAAUGAGCCUUCAAAUCUGGGGCUCACGACCUACAUCUUCUCUCUAUUGAGUGUGGCUGAUCAGAGGACAGUUGCUGUCUUCUGAUCUUUCACUCUCCCAGGCAUGUAUAUUCUUCGUUUCUCUUUAUUAAAGUGACAUUGUAGUCCCUUGGAGGCAUUUGUGUCUGCUUCACUUACGUUGCUCAACCCACACUUGGAGAGAAAUGUGUUUGCAUAAAUACUAGCAGAUGAAUUUUUUAAAUAUCACUUUUUCUUUCCUGGCACUCUGUGAGAGAAAUGAGCAAAUAUAAACAGAGGAGUAUCACACCAGAAAUACAGCAGAUGGGUUCCUGCUGGGGAUCUGGACUUUCCUGGAGUUUACACAUUUGGGAGAUGUAGGAUUAUGACAAAAUCCACUUGUAAUGCUCUUGCUUUUUGUUUCUUGGGCACAAUAUUAAUUGCUUAAUGAUGGUGCUUAAUGUAUACUUUUAGCCCAAAUUUUCCCUUUGGAGAAUAAGCCAGAUGCUAUAAGCACUCUCUGCAGGAGAGAUUCUCUUCCUAAGUCUAGCAUAAAUCUAGUUUGAUUGAGGAAUCAGGGACAAGAGAGAAAGAGACUGUAUAUUUCACUCCAUGCUGCAAGAACAGGGGGAAAAAGGAAACUCUUAACUUCCCAGGUCAGAUGGCGACAUGCUUCCCAACAAGAAUUAUUAUGAAUAUUUUAAAUGAAUAUUGUUAAAAUGGAAGCUGAUUGUACAUGCUUCCUGACCAAUCCUGCUUUGGGCCACCUCAAUUCAGACUAUAAACCCUGAGAAACACAUUUAUACCUGGGGAGUUGAUCAUGAAACAUCCUUAACUCCAGUCAGCACCUUUGGCACAGACUUGGGGAGAUGUUAUUUUCAUUCAUAUAUUUCAUUCAUCCAUUUAACAAAUUUUAUAGAGCAUCUGCUAUGGAUGAAGCACUGUAUUAGGAGAGAGAAUAUAGCAAUGAAGAACACAGACAUGGUUCUUGACUUCAGAAAAUUCGAGUCUAGUGGGAAAACCCUUAUGAUCUAAUCAUUCUGUAUUACAGGUAUUAAAAAGCACAGUAAACCAAUUAUUUUCAUUUCUAUCAACUGUAAUAUGUCUCAAGCACUGGCCUUGCAGAAAAUGGGAGGUGGAAGCUCCUCAUAGGCUCCUGUUGUCAGAGCCUCCACAGUCAUUAAAACCACCUUAUGGGGAUGCCUGGGCAGCUCAGUUGGAUAAGACUGGACCUGACUUUGGCUCAGGUCAUGACCCUGGGUCCUGGAAUGGAGCCCCAUGUUGGGCUCCCUGCUUAGCGGGAGUUUGCUUCUCCCUCUCCCUCUGCCCCUCCCUCCCACUCAUGCUCUCUCUAUCUCUCUCUCUCAAAUAAAUAGAUAAAAUCUUUAAAAAAUAAAAUAAAAACCACCUUAUGGAAGAGCUCCUUAUCUACAAUUGAUUUGUCUGAACCCUUGUCUUCAUAGGUUGUCCUUAGGGGCUUAAGAAAAUGCUACAAAGGAUCCUACCUGUCCAUAAUGAUGACUUCUGGAACCCAGAGAAAGCCCCAUCUUUUUUUUUUUGAAAGCCCCAUCUUUAAUCAAUGAGUAUUAAUUAAUAUUUUAUGUCUAUUAGGUUUAACAAGAGAGGUGGCAUGAUAUAGUGCAAAGACCAUAGGCUGUGAAGUUAGCUCUGUGUUCUAAUCUUGGCUCAAACAUUUAUCAGCCAUUUCCCCUUGGGAGGAUUAUUUCACUUUCCUGUGGCUUAAUUACCUCAUGCAAAAUGGAGAAAAUAGCACUUAACUCAGGAUUACUCACAUUCUUAAAUGAAAUAAUCACUAAGAAGUGCUUGGUAUGUGGCACAUUCUCCUCCAUGAUAUGUGGGAACUAUAUUCCAUGUGACACAGGUCUUGCCUUUGAGAGAAUACAGCAUCCACAUGAAAUACUUAAUGACAACCAUACACAACUGUGAGCUAUUUGGUAAGUGAUAAAUUAUGCCUGUGGCUGAGUCUGCCCAUCCUGAGUGUGCCAACACUUUCUGCUUCUGCUGCCCUAAUUCUGUUGCACAAGCCAUACCCCUCCAACAAGUGGCCCAACCAGGAAAGCCUAAAAGAAAUCAGAAUGCUCCAGUAAGAAAUCAGAGUAAGAAACAGACACUUCAUGUUUUUAUUUAUUUUAUUUAUUUUUAAAAUAUUUUAUCUAUUUAAUCAUGAGAGACACAGAGAGAGAGAGGCAGAGACGUAGACAGAGGGAGAAACAGGCUCCAUGCAGGUAGCCUGAUAUGGGACUUGGUCCCAGGACCCCGGGAACACGUCCUAAGCUGAAGGCAGACACUCAACCACUGAGCCACCCAGGCAUCCCACACUUCAAGUUUUUAAAUGAUAUCCUUAGCUUUGUCACACUAAGUGUAGACCAGUACUUCAUUUUACUGUUCUUUCUACUUACUAAAAGUAUUUUCUAUUAUCUCCAGGAUGCUGGAAAACAUGGAGGUGGAGAUGGAACCUGUGGCCACAUUUGGCAGGGAAAUACACAGCUAGAUGCUAGUGACAUUGCCUUAAGUAAUUUCUACAUCCUUCAAGACCCCUGCACCAGAAAUCCAUGAGUCUUACAGCUUAAGAGGGGCUAGAUCUCCCAUGGAGUCUGGGACAAGCAGCUUCCUCCAGUUGUCUUCUCCUACAGCUGCCUCCCCAAACUCUCAGGCGAGAGAUCCAGAUACUGGUAGGCUAAGUGAUGGCUCAUGGGAAAAUCCAGAUACUGGAUCCAGAUACUGGUAGGCUAAGUGAUGGGCUCAUGGGAAAAUCUCCAAAUUGUGUACAUUAAUUUAAAAAAGACUUAGAAUUUUAAUAACAGGAAACAAAUAUAAUGUCCAAAACAGAAGGGGUGAUUAACUCUAUAGAUUAAAUUAACCAUAUAUAAAUAUAUAUAUAUAUUUAUAUAUAUAUAUACACACACACAAAUUGAAUUUUAUAUAACCAUAAUUAAUAAUUUAAAUAACAGAGUUCUUAUAAUAAUUAAUAGUAACCCAAUUUUCCAUAUGAUAGCAAGCAAAAACAUAUAUUUAGCAAAAAGCAGUGUACAAAAUUCUAUAUAUGGAAUGAGCACAACUGUGUUAAAAGAAUAAAUCUUUGCCUAUAAAAAGACUGGAAGGAAACACUUUAACAUUUGAGUGUUGGAACUUUGGCUAAUUUUUUGUUUCUACUUUUAUUUUUAUAAUAAGCAUACAUUGUUUAUAUCAUCUUUAAAAAGCAUUUUGAAAUGAAGACUUCUGAGGCCAAGAAUAUGGACUUCCCGGAGGCCACUUGUGUGCAUCACUUCCAAGAAGGCUGUUCAGUAAUUCACCGGAUGGCCCAGCUGAGUGAAGGUCAAAGUGAGCAAAGGCGGCACUUUUUAGGAAUUGAAUGGGGAUCAGAAAGUUUGCCCUGAUUAUGUCCUGAGUCUGGUCUUCCCUCACAAGGUCCGUCAUGGUUUUCUAUCUAGCUGCCCAGCCUCAUUAGCCUCAAGUCUCUUCCUCUUCCUAUCUGAGAUCAAGCUUCGCUCUUUCCACUCUUGGCAUCUGGUUGUGCACCACUGUGGGCAGGGUGAGAGGGCGGAGGCGGAUGAAACCCAAGGCUAAGGCCGCCCCCAGCAGGGGCCACUGGAGCAGAACUUGGCUGCGCACAGAAGAACCCAAAUCAACUUAUUUUGUUUUCCUCUGUUUUUAAACUCGUCUCCAAACUUCCUGGUUUUGUCCUAAAAUGAGAGCCAGACAGCUUGUGAGCGAAUCUUGUCAUCCCUAUGAUCUGAGGCAGCCUAGCUCAGGGGAAAGCUUAUGCAUUUUUUUUUUCCUUUUUCUGAAAGAUCCUCCUGGUGGCCACACCACAUCAGCAGUUCCUUGCGCACGUGGUUCUUCCUUCUGGUUUCUCCUGAUGGUUCCAGAGUCUUCAAGAAGGACCGUGGGCCAGUCUGGCAGGGCCUCAUGGAAUCAGACCAUCAGACGUGCCCGCUGAUCCGCAGAGCUCUGCUGCUGUUGCAGCCCGGUGACUCAUUCGUCACUCAAGGAAUUUUGGGUUUGUUAUUUCUCAGCCGCUUCACCAAGAACCACAUGGAGCCAAAACAGAGAAGGGAGGAAAUGGGGGUGCAGAUGGGAGGGGUGGGGCAGGAAUCCAAAGUGGCUGUGGAAAAAUUCGGCUGAGGUGCCGUGGUCGAAGCUUGGCCCCGGGGGAGUGAGGCUCUUCCAAAAGCAACAACAGGAAGGAAACCGUGCUUUGAUUACGACUUCAUUGACAGGCCUGCGUGCGCACCAUGGUUCUCCUGCAACUGAGCCGGCGUGGUCAGGCGUCCAAAAGAAUCGGCAUUGCUCUUUGGGAAUAUUUACGAGCAACCGCACCCAAAGCAUGUGGACUCGGCCAGUGCAAGGUGGAAGGGACAGCCAGACGCUACCUGCAAAAUAGAGUGCAAAUCCUCUGCCCUAAAGGGCUAUCUCCUGGUCCCCGAUACCCAUGUGCUGUUGGCUCAAUGAUGUGGGUUUGCUUUGUGGACGGUAUCCAGUGUGCAGUUGUGGCUGUCCUGAGCAGAGGGCCGCUGCCUACGUUGUGAACAAUGGAAAAAAUCACAUGGACAGGGCCGCCGGAAGAUUCACGAAUAUAUAUGUUUUAGAGACUUCCAGAAAGUUGUUGUUUAGAAAUUAAUUUUCCUUAAGUUGUCCCCGCCCUCCAAGCCUGUGCAGCUUUUGGCCGGCACCAAAAGCUGCUUGGGUCCUCAUUCUGAUAGCUUUAGGAAGAGUAUUGAAUUGCCAUUUGUGACAUUUACUAUCCAUUGCUAGUUCAGGGCUUGCAAGAUCAGCAUGCUGAGAGUAUUCAUUCCUUUUUAAUUAUGCAUUUUUUACUUCAACAAAUAUUUCCUAAAGGCUUAAUGUUGGAAGCAGUCCUUGAGGUCCAGGCCUCUGAUGAGCAUUUCCAGGACAGGACUAUGAACUCUAUGUGAGAGGAAGAAACUGACGAGACUAGAGACAGGAAUGUUUCAUGGAUUUCAUGACAAAUCUCAUGAUUAUUCAGUCUGAGCUGUUGAUUCCUUCUUAUGCAAAGCAUGACAUGUUUCAAUGGUGGGUUGUACCACAGCCACUCUAAGCAAACGGUCUUCCUGGAAACAGAAAGACAAAGAAGGUAUGUGAUAGAAGCUUUGUAUUAGGAUGGCAAAACCCAUCCAUCUCAGCACAGAAGACAACAAAUUAGUGUCAUAUAGAUCACAUCCUCUGAAUUAUAAGGAAACUUACUCUUAAAAAAAACCCUUACUUUGAUUUCCAUAAAUUAGGAAAUUUAAAAUGUUUUUAAAGAACAUUAGGAAUAACUAAUGGUUCAAAGAAAUAAAUACCUACAUAAUCUUAUAUAUAAGAUUAGGGAGUAUACAAGCUAAAUAAAAUAUAAUUUAAAACUUGUUUGAUUCAGCAAAAGCUACAGAGAAAUUACAGAGAGAAACUUACAAAAGCUUUAAGAUGCUUACUUAUUUAUAAAAGAAAAAAGGCUACUUAAUUAAUGAGCCAUGUAUUUCAACUCAAGACACUGGUAAAAGGAACAACAGCAUACACACCAAGAAAGUAGAAAAAAAACACAGAGGAGAAAUUAAUUAAAUAGAAAACAAAGUUACAGUGGAAAUGAUCAAUAAAAUACAAAGCUAGUACUUUGAAGGGCAUCUGUGUGGUGAAGUCAUGUAAGCAUCUGACUCUUGAUUUUGGCUCAGGUCAUGAUCUCAGGGUCACAAGAUCAAGCCCUGCAUGGUCUCCUUGGUCAGUGUGGAGUUUGCUUGAGAUCUCUCCUUCUCUCUCUGCCCCUCUCCCCAAUACUUAUGCUCUCUCUCUCUAAAAUAAAUAAGUAAAUCUUUUUAAAACGAAAGCUAGUGCUUUGAAAGACUAAUAAAAUUGACAGAUUAAAAGGGAAAAUCACUACAUAUAUAGUAGACUUUUUAAAAAAUAAGAGAAUGAAACCUACCAGAACUGACUCAAGAGGAAAUAGAAAAUCUAACUAGAGAGGUAAAGCUAUUUUUAAAAAGUAGUUGGUAGUUUAAAAUCUAUCUACAAAAAUGAAACAAACUACACAAGCACUAAAGUGGUUUAUAAGCAAAUCUCUGUCAGCAAAUUUAUCUUAAAAAGAAAAGAGAAAUAUAAUCUCAGGCAAUCUUUCAGAGAAUAGAAAAAGGAUGACCACAACUCAUUAUAUGAUGCAGAGAGAAUUUUGAUAUCAAAACCAGGCAAGAAUAAAUAGAAAAGGAAAAUUAUAGGCCCAUCUCUCACAAAUGCAGAUGUAAAUGUAGAUGUAUAAUCUACAAAUUAUUAAAAUAAGAGAAGCAGAGGAGGGGCAAGAUGGCGGAAGAGUAGGGUCCCCAAGCCACCCGUCCCCACCGAAUUACCUAGAUAAACUUCAAAUCAUCCUGAAAAUCUACGAAUUCGGCGUGAGAUGUAAAGAGAGACCAGCUGGAAGGCUACAGUGAGAAGAGUUCGCGCUUCUAUCAAGGUAGGAAGACGGGGGAAAAAUAAAGAAACAAAAGGCCUCCAAGGGGGAGGGGCCCCGCGAGGAGCCGGGCUGAGGCCGGGGCGAGUGUCCCCAGGACAGGAGAGCCCCGUCCCGGAGGAGCAGGAGCUGCACCAACCUUCCCGGGCGGGCGGAAAGGGGCCCGCAGGGAGUUAGAGCAGGACCCAGGAGGGCGGGGAUGCCCUGAGGUUCCCAGGGGCACUAACAGACACCUGCGCCCCGGGGGAGUGCUCCGAGCUCCCUAAGGGCUGCAGCGCGCACGGCGGGGCCCGGAGCAGCUUGGAGGGGCUCGGGCGGCGGCUCCGCGGAGGGGGCUGUGCGGCCGGAGGGCGAAUCCAACAGCGCAGGCCCCGGAGCACAGGGCGCCGGGACACAGCCCAGGAUCCGGCCUCCCCCGGGACAGGCAGAGGCCGGGAGUGACCAGGACAGCAAGGACGCUCCUGCCCCAGCUGAGCAGAUCAGCGGCCCCGCCCCGGAGCAUCCAGGCCCCUGCAGACGUAGAGCUCCUAGUUACUGCGGGAGCUGACUCCAGGGCUCCAGAGCUGGCCCCGCCACUGGGGUUGUUCCUCCUGGGGCCUCACGGGGUAAACAACCCCCACUGAGCCCUGCACCAGGCAGGGGUCAGAGCAGCUCCCACAAGUGCUAACACCUGAAAAUCAGCACAACAGGCCCCUCCCCUAGAAGACCACUAGACGGACAAGUUCCAGGGGAAGUCAAGGGACUUAAAGUCUACAGAAUCAGAAGAUACUUGCCGUGGUUUUUUUUGUUUCUUUGUUUGUUUUUUGCUUUCUGCUUUCUGUUUGCUUCCCCCACCCUUUUUUCUCUUUUUCUUCUCUUUUUUUCUUCCUUUUUUCUUUUCUCUUUUUGUCUUUUCUUUCCUUCUUUCUCUCUCACUCGUUUUCUCCUUUUCCCAAUACAACUUGUUUUUGGCCACUCUGCACUGAGCAAAAUGACUAGAAGGAAAACCUCACCUCAAAAGAAAGAAUCAGAAACAGCCCUCUCUCCCACAGAGUUACAAAAUUUGGAUUACAAUUCAAUGUCAGAAAGCCAAUUCAGAAGCACUAUUAUAAAGCUACUGGUGGCUCUAGAAAAAGGACUCAAGAGACUUCGUGACUGCAGAAUUUAGAUCUAAUUGGGCAGAAAUUAAAAAUCAAUUGAAUGAGAUGCAAUCCAAACUAGAGGUCCUAACGAUGAGGGUUAACAAGGUGGAAGAACGAGUGAGUGACAUAGAAGACAAGUUGAUGGCAAAGAGGGAAACUGAGGAAAAAAGAGACAAACAAUUAAAAUACCAUGAGGAUAGAUUAAGGGAAAUAAGUGACAGCCUGAGGAAGAAAAACCUACAUUUAACUGGGGUUCCCGAGGGUGCAUAAGGGACAGAGGGCCAGAAUCUGUAUUUGAACAAAUCAUAGCUGAAAACUUUCCUAAUCUGGGAAGGGAAACAGGCAUUCAGAUCCAGGAGAUAGAGAGAUCCCCCCUAAAAUCAAUAAAAACCGUUCAACACCUCGACAUUUAAUAGUGAAGCUUGCAAAUUCCAAAGAUAAAGAGAAGAUCCUCAAAGCAGCAAGAGACAAGAAAUCCCUGACUUUUAUGGGGAGGAGUAUUAGGGUAACAGCAGACCUCUCCACAGAGACCUGGCAGGCCAGAAAGGGCUGGCAGGAUUUUCAGGGUCCUAAAUGAGAAGAACAUGCAACCAAGAAUAUUUUAUCCAGCAAGGCUCUCAUUCAAAAUGGAAGGAGAGAGAAAGAGCUUCCAAGACAGGUCGGAACUGAAAGAAUAUGUGACCUCCAAACCAGCUCUGCAAGAAAUUUUAAGGGGGACUCUUAAAAUUCCCCUUUAAGAAGAAGUCCAGUGGAACAAUCCACAAAAACAAGGACUAA